rnacentral:rRNA from 1 species
UACGGAGGGAGCUAGCGUUGUUCGGAAUUACUGGGCGUAAAGCGCGCGUAGGCGGCUUUGUAAGUUAGAGGUGAAAGCCCGGAGCUCAACUCCGGAACUGCCUUUAAAACUGCAUCGCUUGAAUUGUGGAGAGGUAAGUGGAAUUCCGAGUGUAGAGGUGAAAUUCGUAGAUAUUCGGAAGAACACCAGUGGCGAAGGCGACUUACUGGACACAUAUUGACGCUGAGGUGCGAAAGCGUGGGGAGCAAACAGG